AUUGAACGCUGGCGGCAUGCUUUACACAUGCAAGUCGGACGGCAGCACAGAGAAGCUUGCUUCUUGGGUGGCGAGUGGCGAACGGGUGAGUAAUAUAUCGGAACGUACCGAGUAAUGGGGGAUAACUAAUCGAAAGAUUAGCUAAUACCGCAUAUUCUCUGAGGCGGAAAGCAGGGGACCUUCGGGCCUUGCGUUAUUCGAGCGGCCGAUAUCUGAUUAGCUAGUUGGUGGGGUAAAGGCCUACCAAGGCGACGAUCAGUAGCGGGUCUGAGAGGAUGAUCCGCCACACUGGGACUGAGACACGGCCCAGACUCCGACGGGAGGAAGCAGUGGGGAAUUUUGGACAAUGGGGGAAAGCCUGAUACAGCAAAGCCGCGUGUAUGAAGAAGGCGUUCGGGUUGGAAAGGACUUUUGUCAGGGAAGAAAAGGAUGUUGCUAAUAUCAAUAGCUGAUGACGGUACCUGAAGAAUAAGCACCGGCUAACUACGUG
rnacentral:rRNA from 1 species